CACACACACACGCACACACACACACACACACACACCAGCUACACCAGAACUAAAACCUGCUUUAACCCUUGUGCAUCAAUUUAAAUUGUAGCUGCAAGCAGAAAUUAUAGUGGUUCAAUCUCUUUAAGGCCUUUAAAGCAAUGCCUAAAAAAGUAUUCUGUUUUCUUUUGCAAGCAUGUAAACACAUCAAAGAGAGAAAAGAUUAUUUACAGCCAACACAAGCAAUUUGCAAAGGAAAUGUAUGUGUUUUAAUGCUUUUUAACAGUUAAUGAGGUUGAGCAAGUUUGGUCUGCCUGAUCACUUUUAGGUAAGACUGCUGAUCCUUGGCAAUUUGAACAAUUACAGGGUUUCAACACAAUUUCUAAAACAUUAACCCAAAAAGUGCUAGAAAGACAAAGUCAUAAAUCUAAAGUUGUGUUCCAAAUUUGAGGUUGGUAUCUCAAAAAAGAUGACACCAUGUUGUGAAAAUUUAUAUAGCACAUUUAAAUCAACCAUGGUUGACCAAAGUGCUUAACAAUGUCCGGGAAAAAUAAAAUAAAUAAAUAAAAUACAUAAAUAAGAAGUCACACACAAACAAGACAAAUACAAUAAAAGUCAGAAAGGUAAAAACAGAAACACUAAGACCUCAAGGAUGCACAGGGGUAUAAGCUUGACUUUUUUUUCUUUCUUCUGAGUGUGUUUAUUAUGCCUGUAAAUGGAUGCACAUGAUACAAGCUAUGUUAAAUACUCUUGCAUUAAACCUUGCAAAAAUACUAAUGUGAUGUUUGUCUGGAGGGAUGUUACAAUGACUGUUUUAAGUCUUCAAACAUUUGGUAGAUAUUUCUUUAUAUUCAUCAAACUAAACAUCUGUGAUAUUUAUUUGGUGCUGAAUAGUAUUUUAUUUGUUUGCGUGCUUGUUUUUUGUGCAUGUGAGAUAAAUGACAUGACAGCUCUUCAUCUAGUCUCUUUUUCAGUUCUGUUGUGUUCAGCUGUGAUUAUCAAGUUUAUUUGUUUGUUUGUUUUGUUUUUAUAUUUUGCUGAUGUAUUUGUCUUGUAGAAUAUUAUCACAGUUUGAUGGAGAUGAUUGCCUUUACAUAAUUAUCAGUUCAGCCAUUCUUCUUCAGCUUUAGACAGAUUUAUUGGUUCUUUCUUUUGGUAGCAUUCUUGUUUUUUUAUUUGUCUUUCAUGUGGUGUUGCUCAUUUUCUUUCAUUUUCUACUAAAUUUACAUCAGUUGAGGGAAAAAGUGCCUUGAAGCAAAACCCACAAGACAAUCUUUUCUGAAACACAAAACAUCAUGUACAGUAUGUAUUUUUCUGUUUUUGUAUGUUUAUGUGAUAAACAUUAUUAAAAACAUGAUCAGCUCUGUGGAAGAUUAUCUUUAUUUAAAAUACAUUAUAAAUUUCCUUUUGAAUACUAAAUGACUCUAACACUUACGCCAAAGUUACUGCGUGUUGAAUAAGAGGAAACAAAACAAGACAGUUGUCCAAAAACAUAUAAAUAUAUAAACCUCAUGAUUUGAGUAACAAGCUGAAGUAAUCAAGAAACCCAGAUUUGCUUUGAGCUAGUAACAGAUGAUUUGCUGAAUUAUCACACAUGAAGAACCAAUCAUAUUAGACAUGAAAUAUGUGAUUGAUCAUGUCACCUUUGUCAAGCACUUAUGCUGUAUAAACUGUUGUACUCUUUUUGUUGGGGGGAUUUUCUCUGAAACUGGUCUAAGAUACUUCUGGCCAUGAUUAAAUCAUUUGAAAGCCAUUGUCUGGAGUCUGUCUGGUUAUUGGUUAUCUUCCCUUGUUUCUAAACCUGUUGUCCAACAAAAGAGAACAUUAUUGCAUGUUUUUACUUAACAAAAGUAGAAUUUUAGAAAUAACUCCCUUCUGUAAUCUGAUGUGGCUUCUUACCAUAGAAUGAUGCAGAAAUAUACAUUCUAUACUGCAAAAAGUGCAAUGGAUUAUAAAUUAACUACUUAAUGAUUAAAAAAAAAAAUACCCAAGUUGGUUUUAAUAACACAGAUGAAUUAUAUUGUCAUAGUUGAGUGUUUAUUGUCUUGAUGUUUCAUCAUUCAAAACGUUUCAAUUAUCUUUUUACUCCGUUACAGCAAUAGCUGGAUGCAUUUGUCCAUAUUAUGGGUUUCCUGGAGUGCCAUUUCUAUUACUUUCGAUAACCAUGCAUAUGAGGGUUUUCAGU
ensembl:lncRNA